UGUAAAUCUCGGGUAAUUGCGGUUAGCAUCUGCUAACUGAGGAAAGUCCAUGCUCGCACAAGCUGCGAUGCUUGUAGUGUUCGUGCCUGGUGAAAAAAUAAGCUGGGGCAUUUGCUUUGCAAAUGACGGCAAGUGAACAAGCUAAAGCCUUCGGUCAUGCUUAAGUAGCUUUGAAAAGUGCCACAGAGACGAUCUUAUUAAGAAAUUAAUAAGUUGGAACGCGGUAAACCCCUCGAGCGGGCAACCCAAACUAUGGUAGGGGAGCUUCACAUCUGGAAUUGAACUAAAUGUGGGGGCAGACAUUGUCUGGAGAUAGAUGAUUACCCAAAUUUAAAUUUUCCUGAGAAUUUAUUUUGGACAAAACAUGGCUUAUAGAGAUUUACAAAUC
rnacentral:RNase_P_RNA from 1 species